UGGGGAAUUUUGGACAAUGGGCGCAAGCCUGAUCCAGCCAUGCCGCGUGCGGGAAGAAGGCCUUCGGGUUGUAAACCGCUUUUGUCAGGGAAGAAAUCUUCUGAGUUAAUACCUCGGGAGGAUGACGGUACCUGAAGAAUAAGCACCGGCUAACUACGUGCCAGCAGCCGCGGUAAUACGUAGGGUGCAAGCGUUAAUCGGAAUUACUGGGCGUAAAGCGUGCGCAGGCGGUUUUGUAAGACAGAGGUGAAAUCCCCGGGCUCAACCUGGGAACUGCCUUUGUGACUGCAAGGCUUGAGUGCGGCAGAGGGGGAUGGAAUUCCGCGUGUAGCAGUGAAAUGCGUAGAUAUGCGGAGGAACACCGAUGGCGAAGGCAAUCCCCUGGGCCUGCACUGACGCUCAUGCACGAAAGCGUGGGGAGCAAACAGGAUUAGAUACCCUGGUAGUCCACGCCCUAAACGAUGUCAACUGGUUGUUGGGAAGGUUCCCUCUCAGUAACGUAGCUAACGCGUGAAGUUGACCGCCUGGGGAGUACGGCCGCAAGGUU
rnacentral:rRNA from 1 species